AAUUUCUGGACAACUAUUAAUUU
rnacentral:snRNA from 1 species